CGAGCUCUGAAUGCUGAUUGGUCCGACAGCCGCGGUAUAUCAGACCGUAUAACACAGGUAUGACAAAACAUUUAUUUUUACUGCUCUAAUUAAGUUGGUAACCAGUUUAUAAUAGCAAUAAGGCACCUUGGGAGUUUGUGGUAUAUGGUCAAUAUACCACGACUAAAGGCUGUGUCCAGGCACUCUUGGUGCCUAAGAACAGCCCUUAGCCGUGGUAUAUUGACCAUAUACCACACCCCCUCGGGCCUUAUUGCUUAAUUAUACAAUGGUAGCAUGCUAUUUGUUUUAUUGUGUAAAACGAUUGUAUUUAACCAGAUGAUUUGCUCAACAUUAUGCUACUACCUGUACUGUAGCAUCAUUUAACUGUUAAUAUGUCUAUGAGCUCAUGGAAGCUUCCCUGUAGCAGUGCUAAACCAGGUCGAAGUGAAGCUUCCUUGUAGCAGUGCUAAACCAGGUUGAAGUGAAGCUUCCCUGUAGCAGUGCUAAACCAGGUUGAAGUGAAGCUUCCUUGUAGCAGUGCUAAACCAGGUUGAAGUGAAGCUUCCCUGUAGCAGUGCUAAACCAGGUUGAAGUGAAGCUUCCCUGUAGCAGUGCUAAACCACGUUGAAGUUAAGCUUCCCUGUAGCAGUGCUAAACCAAGUUGAAGUGAAGCUUCCCUGUAGCAGUGCUAAACCAAGUUGAAGUGAAGCUUCCCUGUAGCAGUGCUAAACCAAGUUGAAGUGAAGCUUCCCUGUAGCAGUGCUAAACCAAGUUGAAGUUAAGCUUCCCUGUAGCAGGGCUAAACCAGGUUGAAGUGUUGACUGAAGGUUGCAGGGCUAAACCCUCUGCUGCUAUGUACUAAAGCAGUGGUCUAAAAGGAAAAGGAAACCGCUCAGAUGUUUUAUUUACAUGACUUAAAAAAUGUAAGCCUAUGCAACAUUAACCAAUUAAAAACAGUCCUGUGGUAAUGAGGUUUGUGCAGUAAGCUAUAGUCCCAAUACACUAUCACUGUAUAUUGGCUAGGUUUGAAUUGCCCUGCCAAUGUUGUUUUUCAAUAGGACAUUCUAAAAUUAUAUUUC
ensembl:lncRNA